CUUCUAUUUAAAUAAAAAAAAAUAAAGAACUAUUUGCAAUUAUAGUCCCAAUUUUUUUUAAAAAGUUCAAAAGAGUCCCAAAUAAAAAAUAAAAUAAAAAGCUCUAAAAGUCCCAAUACAGUUGUAAAGACAAUAUGAGACACUCCAUGUUCACACCAAACAGCCUAAGUCGUUUUUUCUGCACCCGUCCCUUGGACCACCGGCAUUAAUUCAAACACCAUUCGCUCAACCCCAACCCCACCCACCGUUUGCAUCUACACCGUUCCAAGCUGAUGUGGAGCUAAUGCUCUUGUUCUAACUCCAGCUCUAGCUCUGGCUAUAACAUUACUAUUGUAACCGUAAGUUCCAUUACCAUAUCCAUAAAGUAUUACUGGAUUUCAUCAAGUGUGAAUAAUCCCUGGUCAACGGUGACCCUUGUGACUGAAAAUAUGGAGGAUUGAACGGGUGAAGAGUCCUCUGGAAAGAGAAUUGGUGUGGAACUGAGAGAGGAGGAAUAGGAGGAGAAAGCGGAAGCACAUCUGCCCAAGAAGAAUUUGUGUAGAAUUGCUUUGAAAAAUUGGAUCAAUUGGAGGUUGGAUUGAAUCAAUUGAAUGCACACCCAAGGUCUUAUGAGGUUGCUGGACACUCGACUGGUGGCAAUUUGGUGGAAAAAUAGCUUGGGCCCAUUAAUUGGAAGAGGUGCUACUGCUUCAUUGUGCUCGCGAAUCAGGUUGGUUUUACUAAAAAAUUCAGCAAUAUUUAAGGCCUAUUUUGGUGAUGUUAAUCCAUUACGACGUUGGCGUAGAUAAGGGGAGAUGACCGGUGGCAGUGGAUGGCCAUGAGUGUUGUCAAAAGUUGUGGAAUCAAUUUGUAUAGGGCGCAAAAAAUCAAGGUUGUUUUCCACUAAUUUUUGUCUCUAAAUGGAUGUUUGGAUGGGAUGUUUGUUCAAAUUGUGUUGUAGGUGAGAGGCCGUCGGCAUGGAGGGUAGUUUUCGGUGGUCGGGGUAGCUAACGAAAAUUGGUGGUGGUAGUGGUGGAGGAGGUGGAGGUGGAGAAUUUUUUUUUUUUAUUUGGGACUCUUUUGAACUUUUUUAAAAAUUGGGACUAUGAUUGCAAUUAGUUCUUCAAUUUUUUUAUUUAAAUAGAAAGGUAUAUUAGUCAUUUUAUAGCUUUUUAUUGAGAAAAAUGAUAAAA
rnacentral:lncRNA from 1 species